SGGCUACRGWGMSCGUGAAUCCGGGCCGGCGAAUUCAGGACCGAUACGUGUGCCUGCCAAGGUGGCGCGUGUCGGUUUGAUGUUUCGUCGGCCGUAAGUUUGGACGUUGCGACCCGUUUGGUGCUUGUUUUGUGUAAGGGCUAGCGUAAAGUUCGUCAGUUUGACGCGUUUCGGCGCGUCAGUUUGGCGAUGCGUUAGUUCCCCGAGCUAGCUAGCCCGACGGUAGAAUAAAAUGGUGUCCGGCGGCGACUCCGGUCGUCGUCGGUACCGGUCGGUAACGAUUAUUCGGGCCUCUUUCCGACCCGUCUUGAAACACGGACCAAGGAGUCUAACGUGUGCGCGAGUCAUAGGGUGUCGCCGACUGGUGAGUGCAUGCAUCAGUCGGCGUUAUACAAACGAAACCCGACUCUAGGCGUAAUGAAAGUAAUGUGUUGUGUUUCGGCACAGUGGGAAGAUAGCGUUCCGAGUACACGUUCUAGACUCGAUCUAGACCGGACGUUCGCAUUCCCGGGGCGUCCUGUCAGUCCGGCGGCGUACUACUUCGGUGGUGCGUCGUUGAACGCGGGCGCACUCAUAGCGUACACGUUGGUACCCGAAAGAUGGUGAACUAUGCCCGGCCAGGAUGAAGUCAGGGGAAACCCUGAUGGAGGUCCGCAGCGAUUCUGACGUGCAAAUCGAUCGUCU
rnacentral:rRNA from 1 species